ensembl:lncRNA
AUGUUUUUUCCUGGCGCGGCGUGUCCUGGCCGCGCGGCCCCGCGGUGCCGGGCCAGGCGAGCGCGGGCGCAGGAAUGGCGGCGGCAGAGGCGGAGGCGACCGGCUCGGAGGCCCGGCGCGGAGGGGCGGCGCGGCCAGGCGACUCGGGGAUGCUGCGGCGAGGGAGGGCGCGGAGGCCGGCGCGGGAGGGAGGGCGCGGGGCUGCGCGCAGGCCCCUCCUCCGCUCCCCUCCUCCCUUCCCGCCUCCUCUCGCUUCCCUUCCCCCUCUCUCCUGCCUCCUCCUCCUUGCCGCCCGGCUCCCCGCCCUACUUCUCAUCCCCCACCCGCUCCGUCCCUCCCCUUUUCCCUCCCCUUUCUUCACCUUCCUGCACUCCUCCACUCCCUCCAUCUCCACCCGCCCCUACCACCUUCCAUCUCCACUCUUUCCCUCUGAUAUCUUCUCUCCCCACCUUCCACCUUUCCCCCUUAACCCCCAAGCCCCCAAAGGCUAACCUCUGCCCUGGCCAGGCCUCUGCUGGGUCCAACACACGUUCUGAUGACAUGCGCAGUUACCCCCUUCUCACCAUCUGCUAAUGAAUAUUGCCCCUUCUGGGAGCCUGACCUGACCUCACCCUCUCGAGCCUCCACCCUCCUCCAAAUCUCCAAGGUUUUGCGAACUCCCAGGCUCUGAUGCUGUUCUGCUGGGGACCUGACCUGCCCAAUGGGUGGAAAAAGCAUGUGGUCUCUGAGGACGCUUGCUCCUUUGCUUCUAAGCAAAUCUAAUUUGGAUAAGAACAUUUCAAACCAAGCCUUCUGCCACUUCCCCAGGGUGAGGUGGGUAGGUACCAAUCCAGGUUUUGCUGCACCCCUUCUGUUUGCCCGCAUGCCAACUGUUUGCUAAGUGUUCACCAUCUGAUCACUGCUGGUGACACACGUUUACACUAACCCACAGGUUUGAGAACUAGGUGCCCUCCGAAGACUGCUCCAAAUCCUCUGGCCCUGGAGAAAGAAGUGACAGGCCUGAGAAGGUGGUUGAUCUGGCCAGUAGGCCUGCUGAGGGAUGCUGUCCAGAGAAAGGGAUGCAGUUCCCAAUGAACCAGCCAGGAUUUCCUUGUGUGUAGUGUAGAAGUCAGGGCUUCCCUGGUGGCUCAGACGGUAAAUCGUCUGCCUGCAAUGUGGGAGAUCCAGGUUUGAUCCCUGGGUGGGAAAGAUCCCUGGAGAAGGGAAUGGCUACCCACUCCAUAUUCUUGCCUGGAGAAUCCCAUGGACAGAGGAGCCUGGCAGGCUAUACUUCAUGGGGUCGCAGAGAGUCAAACAUGAUUGAGCCACUAACUAACUGUAGAUCCCAGGCUGCAGGAAUCCUCCCAGCUCACCUGAGGUCACUUUCCUGAUGCCCAGGAGCUGCUAGUAACCAGAGUGAGAGUUUUAAAAUGAAGCCAUUCCUAAAUGAUCAAUAACGGGACUGAGAGCCUCAGUCUCUUUAGGGGCCUCCUCUCUUUCCAUGCUGGGGCUGCCAUAGGCAGACCUUAAUGCAAGUGCAUCAACACUGUGCCAGCAAAACUAAGAUGGCAAAGCUAGUGCCAAGGGUGAAGGUAGGGGUGGGCAGGAGUUCACCCCCCUCCCUCUGUAGGUGGGAAACAUGACCUGGCAUCUGAUAGGCUCCAGUUUGAGCCUUGGCUCUGAUGUUUCCAGGUGACCUUGUGAGCCCUUUCCCACCCUCUCUAAGGGUUGCAGAGCAUGGAAGAGAGACUCUCAGGUAAGACCCCCAGCACCACGUGCCCCACAUUCAUAGCUGGAGACUUUUAUGAGAAAGACACAGGGGAGUUGUACCUUCCAAGCUCUCCUCCUGUGGAAGAAGUCUAUGAAUCUGUGUUCUUCCAUCCUAUUUGGAUUAAAACCUGAUGGGAAGAUAUGUUUUAACAGCAUCCCAGACCCCAAGAAGGAACCCAUUCUUAAGAUGGAUAAAAGCAAGUAUUGCAAAUACAAGGGCAGGGGGCUGUCUUGUGUUCUUUACUAGUCUGACCCAUCUAGAAUACAGUGUCCUUGCUUGGGAUCUAAGGACAGCCACCAGCAGGCCAUGGGAGGGCAGUUGACACGUGGGGAACCUUCAGUCUGGAAGAUCAGUGUGCAGAGCACAAGACGGCAGAAUCCAAAUAUUUGCAAAACUGUCCGGGAAGAAGGAUUACCCUGUGGGGUUAUGAAGGGCAGAACGAGGACAGAUGGGUGGAAAUUAGACUAGAGAGUCGAUUUCCUCCCACUUGUGAAUGCUUUCUGGCAGAUCUGCCUGCCAGAGGAGCCAGCCACCCCUGGAGGACCAUGUCCUACAUGGCCAGUGUCUAGACAGGUUCUGGGGCCACUGCAGGAAAUUGCUGGAGGGGGCCUACAGUAGGAUGACCCCUGGAACCUUUUCCAGCCAUUAGAUCAUUCCACGUUGUCUUUAAUAAGGUCGCUGAACCCCUGUUUGCUUUGUCUGCAGAGUGGAGGGCGGCUCGGCAAAGAAACUGAUCAUAUGCCUGACACAGAGUCAAUGCUUCCAGCUUCAGCACCUUCAACAAUCAAUCAUAAGCUUCUCCUAGUGUGUUUCCUCAUUUGUAUAAAGGAGAUAAGGGAGGAUCUGAUGAGAUGACAGCAUUUUCCCACCACCCAGCACCCAGGAGGGACUCAUCCGGGUCCACACAAAGUGACUCAGUUUGCCUUUUUAUUUUUAUCAAUGUUUUAUCUUCUAUUAUGAGACAUUUCAUCACUGCGAACAAAGCUACUGUAAGUAAUGGAAUUCCAGUUGAGCUAUUUCAAAUCCUAGAAGAUGAUGCUGUGACAGUGCUGUACUCAAUACGUCAGCAAAUUUGGAAAACUCAUCAGUGACCACAGGACUGGAAAAGGUCUGUUUUCAUUCCAGUCUCAAAGAAAGGCAAUGCCAAAGAAUAUUCAAACUACCACACAAUUGCACUCAUUUCACACGCUAGCAAAGUAAUGCUCAAAAUUCUCCAAUUUAGUCUUCAACAGUACGUGAACCGAGAACUUCCAGAUGCUCAAGCUAGAUUUAGAAAAAGGCAGAGGAACCAGAGAUCAAAUUGCCAACAUCCAUUGGAUCAUAGAAAAAAAGAGAGAAUUCCAGAAAAACAUCUACUUCUGCUUCAUUGACUAUGCUAUAGCCUUUCACUGUGUGAAUCACAGGAAAUUGUGGAAAAUUCUUCAAGAGAUUGGAAUACCAGACCACCUUACCUGCCUCCUGAGAAACGUGUAUGCAGGUCAAGAAGCAAAAGUUAGAACCAGACAUGGAGCAGCAGAUUGGUUCCAAAUUGGGAAAGGAGUAUGUCAAGGUUGUAUAUUGUCACUUUGUUAAUUUAACUUAUAUGCAGAGUACAUCAUAUGAAAUGCCAGACUGAAUGAAGCACAAGCUGAAAUCAAGAUUGCCCAGAGAAAUAUCAAUAACCUCAAAUAUGCAGAUGUCACCACCCUUAUGGAAGAAAGCAAAGAGGAACUAAAGAGCCUCUUGAUGAAAGUGAAAGAGGAGAGUGAAAAACCUGGCUUAAAACUCAGCAUUCAAAAAACUAAAAUCAUGGCAUCCAAUCCCAUCACUUCAUGGCAAAUAGAUGGGGAAACAAUGGAAACAGUGACAGACUUUAUUUUCUUGGGCUCCAAAAUCACUGCAGAUGGUGACUGCAGCCAUGAAAUUAAAAGACACUUACUCCUUGGAAGAAAAGCUAUGACCAACCUAGAAAGCAUAUUAAAAAGCAGAAACAUUACCAACAAAGGUCCAUAUAGUCAAAGCUAUGGUCUUCCCUGGAGAAGGCAAUGGCACCCCACUCCAGUACUCUUGCCUGGAAAAUCCCAUGGACGGAGGAGCCUGGUAGGCUGCAGUCCAUGGGGUCGCUAAGAGUCGGAUACGACUGAGUGACUUCACUUUCACUUUUCACUUUCUUGCGUCGGAGAAGGAAAUGGCAACCCACUCCAGUGUUCUUGCCUGGAGAAUCCCAGGGACGGGGGAGACUGGUGAGCUGCUGUCUAUGGGGUCGCACAGAGUCGGACAUGACUGAAGCGACUUAGCAGCAGCAGCAGCAUGGUCUUCCCAGUAGCCAUGUACGAAUGUGAGAGUUGAACCGUAAAGAAAGCUAAGCUCCAAAGAAUUGAUGCUUUUGAACUGUGGUGUUGGAGAAGACUCUUGAGAGUCCCUUGGACUGCAAGGAGAUCAAAUCAGUCAAUCCUAAAGGAAAUCAGUCCUGAAUAUUCAUUGGAAGGACUGAUGCUGCAGUUGAAGCUCCAAUACUUUGGCCACCUGAUGGGAAGAAGUGACUCAUUUGAAAAGACCCUGAUGCUGGGAAAGAUUGAAGGUAGGAGAAGGGGAUGACAGAGGAUGAGAUGGUUGGAUGGUAUCACUGACUCAAUGGACAUGAGUUUGAGUAAGCUCUGGGAGUUGGUGAUGGACAGGGAAGCCUGGCAUGCUGCAGUCCAUGGGGUGGCAAAGAGUCAGACACUACUGAGCAACUGAACUGACUGGCCUCCCCACUGCCUUGGCAGUGAAGAAUUGUCUGCAGUGCAGGAGCUAUGGGAGAUACGUGUUUGAUCCCUGGGUUGGGGAGAUCCCCUAGAGGAAGGCAUGGCAACCCACUCCAGUAUUCUUGCCUGGAGAAUCCCAUGGACAGAGCAGCCUAGCCAGCUGCAGUCCAUGGGAUCAUAAAGAGCCUGACUGGACUGAAACAACUUAGCACACACACACGCACAUGGGACAUUUUAAACUGGUACAGAAGAAUAACCAAAGGAACCCUGUGCACAGGGAUGAUAAUCUUCUGUCAGCUUGACCCACUCCCUACCCGAACCCCCAAUUCUAGGUUCAGUUCAGUUCAGCUGCUCAGUUGUGUCUGACUCUUUGCGACCCCAUGAAUCGCAGCACGCCAGGCCUCCCUGUCCAUCACCAACUCCCAGAGUUCACUCAGACUCACGUCCAUCGAGUCAGUGAUGCUAUCCAGCCAUCCCAUCGUCUGUCAUCCCCUUCUUCUCCUGCCCCCAAUCCCUCCCAGCAUCAGAGUCUUUUCCAAUGAGUCAGCUCUUUGCAUGAGGUGGCCAAAGUACUGGAGUUUCAUAUUUAGCAUCAUUCCUUCCAAAGAAAUCCCAGGACUGAUCUCCUUCAGAAUGGACUGGUUGGAUCUCCUUGCAGUCCAAGGGACUCUCAAGAGUCUUCUCAAAGACCACAGUUCAAAAGCAUCAAUUCUAUGUUGAUACACAUCAAAGGCAUCCUGUCCACCAAUUUGUUUUCCAGCUUCC